rnacentral:rRNA from 1 species
ACCGGCGGCUAGAGUGGUGGCCACUAUUACUGGGCUUAAAGCGUUCGUAGCUGGCUUGUUAAGUCUCUGGGGAAAUCUUCCGGCUCAACCGGAAGGCGUCUCAGGGAUACUGGCAGGCUAGGGACCGGUAGAGGUGAGAGGUACUCCAGGGAUAGGAGUGAAAUCCGGUAGUCCUUGGGGGAAGACCUGUGGCGAAGGCGUCUCACCAGGACUGCUCCGACAGUGAGUAACGAAAGCUAGGGAAGCAAACCG